UAGUGAUCUAGUGAAUGGUCUGGUGUCGUUGAUGAACAGUAACAUCAGCAGCCCAGUCAACCUGGGGAACCCGGAAGAACACACCAUAUUGGAGUUUGCUGAGCUCAUCAGGAGUCUGGUCGUGAGCCGCAGUCAGAUCCAGUUCCUUCCAGAGGCGCAGGAUGACCCUCGGAGACGCGCCCCGA